AUGGCAGAUACACCGGCGUGCUCGAUUUGUGGAGCCGAGGAGGAUACCUGGCGCCACUCCCUGCUCAGCUGCCGCAUGGCUAGAUGUGUAUGGGCCUUGGGUGAUGAUGAGCUUUUGGAACAUGUGAUAUCAAACCAGAAUCCCGACGCACGGAUGUGGCUGUUCUGGUUGUUUGAAACAACAAGCCAGCAGGAUUUAACGCGUGUUCUAGUGACAAUGUGGGCGAUUUGGUGGGCUCGUCGGAAACCGCGGUCGUCUUCAGCGCAUGCGGCACCGAAAGCACGUGCAUGGCUUCCGCCAGAUGGAGAAGCUGUGAAGAUUAACUGUGAUGGUGCCAUAUCAACGCUGGGCGAGAAGGGAGCGGCUGCCGUGGUAUGCCGAGAUAAAACAGGGAUGUUUCUUGGAGCAUCAGCAUUAGUUUUUGAGGGCUUGAUCGACCCGGCGAGCUUGGAGGCACACGCGUGCAGUGAGGCCCUUGCCCUUGCCCGCGACUUGAAUUUGAAGGAGCUGGUAAUCGCAACAGAUUGCUUAGAAGUGAUCUCCAACAUAAAGCAACAAGCAUCACCAGUGUAUGCGCCGAUUCUGCAGGACAUACACAUUAGCAUGAACCUUUUUACUUCAGUUUUCUUUCGAUUUGAACGUAGAGAAAAUAAUUUCGAGGCCCAUUCGGUUGCAAAAGGAGUUGCGUCUCUGCCGGUGGGCCGCCACGUGUGGCUAGGGAUCCUUCCUGAAAUUGCAUGUAUUCCGGAUGUGAUGAACUUUGAAUAA
rnacentral:rRNA from 1 species